UUCCCACGUGAGAAACUUUCUCCUCACAUUUUAACAUCGCACGUGCCAUCAAUCAGCUGAGCUGAUUCCUUAGCAAAGCCAACUGGAAGCCUCCUGAACCUCCCUCUCGACCUAUUCCUUUCCCCGUCCCCUCGGCGAUCGUCGGCGUUUAUCAUCUUAAGCUGCUCUUAGAUGGAAAGAAACCAUCAUAUUGCAGAGGA